CUUAAGGACGACUUAUCCAUUGUACAAUUCGGUCUAACCAACCGGCUUGUCAAGGUGGCUCGGGCUGCGGGUGUAGAGCAUGUUCUAGACACAAACCGCAUCUAGUUUAAUUUUGCUUAGCCGAGUAAUUUAUUUUCCCUUUUAUUCAGAUUUCCUUCAUUUACUUUGUAAUCAAUGUCUCAGCUUAUAUUGAAUAAUAAAGAAGUCCUUUGUUCGAAUUAUUUUGUCUCCACUUGUUUUUGUAUUAUUUUUGUCUACUUGAGAAAAAUCAAAGAACAGGUACAAAAACAAGUGUGGGAGAGGAAUCGCCAUCAAGGUAAUCUUACAUAGAAAAAAUUUCAGAAUUAUUUUUAUUCCUCCUAUGACAAUUUAAAUCUGAUUUAUAUGAUAAAAAUAUUGCUAAUAAAAUAAAAAGAUAAAAAAAUAAAUGAAUACUCCAUUUCCUUUCUGCCUUUGAAAUUAAACAUGCAUACUCUUUAUUCCUCGCCAAAAGCCUACCAUUUAUGAGCAACUUUUUAUAAGGACCCCAUUUCUUCUAAGUAAUUGAGAUUUGCGAUAUAGUAGGAUGAUUUGAAACUUGCUCACUUAUGCAAUGAACUUGGGGAUUUAUUUGAUAAAAUUAAAAUUGCAAAAAGUCUGCUCUUCAAUGAUUGAUAAUUACCUACCAAGGCCAAAUAUAUUACUCUUGAUAAAAAAUCUACAAAUAGCUGCUUAUUUGUUUUGAGUUGUGUGAAGUCUUGUUGACCCUUGCUAAGAGAUUUAUCAUGCUCUCAAGAUCAAGAUCAUGUACACUCCAGAUAAAUAUAUAUGCCGCUUCUACACUGGGAGUGCGCAAAAACAUGCCUUACAUGUCCACCAUACAAACACUCCAUGUUUUAAAGAAUGAUCUUUUUAGUGCAUCUUAGAUAAAGACAUGGGCUAUGCAAAAAUAUAUAUAUAAAAAAAGGAGAAAAAAAGGGCAAGUGCCCACCGUAGAAUUAGGGGUAUAAAAAUACCCACCUGAAAAAAAUAUAGGACACAUGAAGGUCCUAAGUAUACAAAAAAAAAGAUGAGCACAUGAAGGCUCACAAGAAAAUAAAAGAGUUAUGAUAGCCAUGUCUAGAAAUACUUGAUGAGAUCAUAUCAACCAAUGAAGUUGUUUAUACCAUAUACCACACACUUGCACAUCUUGAUCUAAGGGUAUGACACUUCUCUUCUUGGAUCCGAGAUUUGACUCGACAAUAUAUACAAGGUAAGUAUGCAUUCUCCUUGGUCCAUACCCAAAACUCCAAAUACAGCUUAUAGAGGUAGGACAAAUCAAGAGGUACUUUUACCUUGGUAAGGAACCAGAAACAUUCUCGAGUGAUUUGAGAGUAUCAUCUGAAGAGCAAGACUAUUUUUAUUCAAAAAGGUAAAAACCCAAGUUUUGAGCAAAGUUGAGUAAGAAGAUUUGAAUCCUAAUUGUUCCAUUUUUCAAUUACUCAAGAUGUUUUGGUAGACACUCUGAAUGCACAUAAGUUCAGGUGAGGCUUGGAAUAGUUUGCAUGCAGGU
rnacentral:lncRNA from 1 species